rnacentral:rRNA from 1 species
GAUGAACGCUGGCGGCGUGCUUAACACAUGCAAGUCGAACGAGGUCCAACCUUCGGGUGAAGACCUAGUGGCGAACGGGUGAGUAACACGUGGGCAAUCUGCCCUUCUCUCUGGGAUAACCCCCGGAAACGGGAGCUAAUACCGGAUACUUCGAGCUGAUCGCAUGGUCAGCCCGAGAAAGCUCCGGCGGAGAAGGAUGAGCCCGCGGCCCAUUAGCUUGUUGGUGAGGUAACGGCUCACCAAGGCGACGAUGGGUAGCCGAGCUGAGAGGCUGAUCGGCCACACUGGGACUGAGACACGGCCCAGACUCCUACGGGAGGCAGCAGUGGGGAAUCUUGCGCAAUGGGCGAAAGCCUGACGCAGCAACGCCGCGUGCGGGAUGAAGGCUCUCGGGUCGUAAAGCACUUUUUGCCGGGAAGAGGAAGGACGGUACCGGUAGAAUCAGCCUCGGCUAACUACGUGCCAGCCGCCGCAGUAACAC